GACAGAGGAUGCAAACGUUGCUCGGAAUUACUGGGCGUAAAGCGCAUGUAGGCGGCUUGGUAAGUCGGACGUGAAAGCCCGGGGCUCAACCCCGGAAGCGCGCUCGAUACUGCCGAACUUGGGUCCUGAAGAGGAGAGCGGAAUUCCCGGUGUAGAGGUGAAAUUCGUAGAUAUCGGGAGGAACACCAGUGGCGAAGGCGGCUCUCUGGGCAGGUACCGACGCUGAGAUGCGAAAGCGUGGGAAGCAAAC
rnacentral:rRNA from 1 species